rnacentral:rRNA from 1 species
GACGAACGCUGGCGGCGUGCUUAACACAUGCAAGUCGAACGGUAAGGCCCUUCGGGGUACACGAGUGGCGAACGGGUGAGUAACACGUGGGUGAUCUGCCCUGCACUUCGGGAUAAGCCUGGGAAACUGGGUCUAAUACCGGAUAGGACCACUGCCUGCAUGGGAGGUGGUGGAAAGCUCUUGCGGUGUGGGAUGGGCCCGCGGCCUAUCAGCUUGUUGGUGGGGUGAUGGACGACGAAGGCGACGACGGGGAGCCGGUCUGGGAGGGUGACCGGCCACACUGGGACUGGGAUACGGGCCAGACUCCUACGGGAGGCAGCAGUGGGGAAUAUUGCACAAUGGGCGCAAGCCUGAUGCAGCGACGCCGCGUGAGGGAUGGCGGCCUUCGGGUUGUAAACCUCUUUCAGCACCGACGAAGCGCAAGUGACGGUAGGUGCAGAAGAAGGACCGGCCAACUACGUGCCAGCCGCCGCCGUAAUAC